AUGACGUCAAGUCCUCAUGGCCCUUAUGACCAGGGCUACACACGUGCUACAAUGGCCGGUACAAAGAGUUGCGAUACCGCGAGGUGGAGCUAAUCUCAUAAAGCCGGUCUCAGUUCGGAUUGGAGUCUGCCAACUCGACUCCAUGAAGUUGGAAUCGCUAGUAAUCGCGGAUCAGCACGCCGCGGUGAAUACGUUCCCGGGCCUU
rnacentral:rRNA from 1 species